rnacentral:misc_RNA from 1 species
GUGAGUGACGGAUCAGCAAUGUACAAGGACAUGAACCGGUUAGAUGCAUUUUAUAGAGGGAUGUCAACAUGGGCAAGAUGGGUUGAUCUUAAUGUUGAUACUUCCAAAACCAAAGUCUUCUUCCAAGGGAUUUCUCCCACCCAUUAUGAGGGCAGGGAAUGGAAGCAACCAAAGAAUAACUGUAAUGGACAAGCAGAGCCACUGUCAGGUUCUACUUAUCCAGGUGGCGCUCCUCCAGCUGUUGCAGUAGUGAAAAAGGUGUUAAGUACAAUUAAGAAUCCUGUUUAUCUGCUAGACAUAACAACACUCUCACAAUUAAGAAAAGAUGCCCACCCUUCCACUUAUGGCGGUGAUGGCUCUGGCACAGACUGCAGCCAUUGGUGCCUUCCUGGAUUGCCUGAUACUUGGAAUCAACUCCUAUAUGCAGCUCUCAUCAUGUGAAAUGAAGGUCAUGAUUGAAAAAUCAGUUUAUUCUUUAUCUUUCCAUACCAUUGUUAAUAUAUAUGGAGGUGUAGAAAUUUCAGACUUUAGUCCUGUAGGUUGAUAAUAAGGGGGCACAAAUCAAUUGCAAAGUGAUUGAUUUUCUUCGUCAUAAUAAUUGCUCUGAAGUGAUGAACAGAUCAACAGAUAGGUGGAAAUGGGAAUCAGAUGGCUUCUUGUGAUGAUGCCAGGAAAGUAAAUACUCAGUGGGGACUAAACUUAAACUUAGGUUUAUUCAAUUAUCAUUGUAUUUGUAUUGAUAUUUGAUUAAACUUGACUGCAAUUGUAAUACUAUCACAUUCCAGUUCAAUGCAUAUUUAGCAGGUAUUUUGGUUCUUAAAAGCCUUUCCCGUUGUCAGUUGUAACGUUAGGUAAAAGAGUUGUUGAACUUGAAUCCUUAUUUCUCCCAAUAUUUGAAAUGGUU